rnacentral:rRNA from 1 species
CCUACGGGAGGCUGCAGUGGGGGAUAUUGCACAAUGGGGGGAACCCUGAUGCAGCGACGCCGCGUGGGUGAAGAAGCGCCUCGGCGCGUAAAGCCCUGUCAGCAGGGAAGAAAAUGACGGUACCUGAAUAAGAAGCCCCGGCUAACUACGUUCCAGCAGCCGCGGUAAUACGUAGGGGGCAAGCGUUAUCCGGAUUUACUGGGGGUAAAGGGGGCGCAGACGGCGAUGCAAGCCAGGAGUGAAAGCCCGGGGCGCAACCCCGGGACUGCUCUUGAAACUGCGUGGCUGGAGGGCAGGAGGGGCAGGCGGAAUUCCUGGUGUAGCGGUGAAAUGCGUAGAUAUCAGGAGGAACACCGGUGGCGAAGGCGGCCUGCUGGACUGCAACUGACGUUGAGGCACGAAAGCGUGGGGAGCAAACAGGAUUAGAUACCCUUGUAGUC